CCUACGGGCGGCAGCAGUGGGGGAUAUUGCACAAUGGGGGGAACCCUGAUGCAGCGACGCCGCGUGGGUGAAGAAGCGCCUCGGCGCGUAAAGCCCUGUCAGCAGGGAAGAAAGUGACGGUACCUGGAGAAGAAGCCCCGGCUAACUACGUGCCAGCAGCCGCGGUAAUACGUAGGGGGUAAGCGUUGUCCGGAUUUACUGGGUGUAAGGGGGGCGCAGACGGCGAUGCAAGCCAGGAGGUAAAGCCCGAGGCCCAACCCCAGGACUGCUCUUGGAACUGCGUGGCUGGAGUGCAGGAGGGGCAGGCGGAAUUCCUGGUGUAGCGGUGAAAUGCGUAGAUAUCAGGAGGAACACCGGUGGCGAAGGCGGCCUGCUGGACUGCAACUGACGUUGAGGCCCGAAAGCGUGGGGAGCAAACAGGAUUAGAUACCCUUGUAGUC
rnacentral:rRNA from 1 species